CGGACGGGUGAGUAAUGUCUGGGAAACUGCCCGAUGGAGGGGGAUAACUACUGGAAACGGUAGCUAAUACCGCAUAACGUCGCAAGACCAAAGAGGGGACCUUCGGGCCUCUUGCCAUCGGAUGUGCCCAGAUGGGAUUAGCUAGUAGGUGGGGUAACGGCUCACCUAGGCGACGAUCCCUAGCUGGUCUGAGAGGAUGAUCAGCCACACUGGGACUGAGACACGGCCAG
rnacentral:rRNA from 1 species